rnacentral:rRNA from 1 species
AACGAACGCUGGCGGCAUGCCUAACACAUGCAAGUCGAACGAAGUCUUCGGACUUAGUGGCGCACGGGUGAGUAACGCGUGGGAACCUGCCCUUCGGUACGGAAUAACGUCGGGAAACUGACGCUAAUACCGUAUAUGUCUCUGGAUGAAAGAUUUAUCGCCGGAGGAGGGGCCCGCGUCUGAUUAGCUAGUUGGUGAGGUAAUGGCUCACCAAGGCGACGAUCAGUAGCUGGUCUGAGAGGAUGAUCAGCCACACUGGGACUGAGACACGGCCCAGACUCCUACGGGAGGCAGCAGUGGGGAAUAUUGGACAAUGGGGGCAACCCUGAUCCAGCAAUGCCGCGUGAGUGAUGAAGGCCUUCGGGUUGUAAAGCUCUUUUGGCAGGGACGAUGAUGACGGUACCUGCAGAAUAAGCCCCGGCUAACUUCGUGCCAGCCGCCGCAGUAAUAC